GGGAUGCCAGGUCGCCGUCGCCAUCACCUGCGUGCUCUCCUUAUCCGUACGGGUACGGGUAUGGCGCCGCCGCCGGCGGCCGGUGUCCUUCUCCUUCCCCUUCCCAUCCACCACACCCAGCCUCCUCGAUCUGCAACAUCCUGCUCCCCCUGCAUGCACGAGGGAUCUCGGGCCGCCGUCACCCUUCGGGAGCUCCCUCUCCUCCCCGCCUUCUUUCCGUGGCUCUGCAGACGCAAGGGAUCUCGGGUCGCCGUCGCCCUUCGAGAGCUCCCUCUCCUCCACGCCUUCUUUCCAUGGCGCGAGGGACCAAGCGCCAUGUACAGACUUACAUACGUGCUGCUGGCCACUGCCCUGUAACCCCGCCGCCAGCAGGGUCGUCCAUGACCAGGGCCCCCAAGCUAAGGAGUGACAUGCUGCUGCCGUGCCCACCACCAUCUGUGAGACUUGGAAAUCUAGGAAGCUGCAGUACAACAGAAGACUAUCCAAUUGGAGGAUCCACAUCAUUUAUGGGAGCAAGAGAUCCAAAACUGGUAGAUACAUGCACUAAUUCUAUUCAGAUAGGAGAAGGGGCACAAUGUGAGGGAGGCGGUCGCCGGCGGUGGCGGCUCCGGUGACCGGCCAGCAGGCAGGGAGACGAGCUCCUGUUGAGGCGGCGGGGCUCGGUGCGGGCUGGUUCCUCUGGAUCGAGCCUUGGCUCUCCCGAGGUGUGUGGUUGCGGGCGUCUGAUGAGUUGGUUUGGCGCCCCCUUACUCAGAUCUGCACGUCCCUGAUGAUCGGAGGUUUGCCUUUCACAUGUUCAUUGAGUUGCUUGAUGACAUAAAAAAAAUUGAAAUAUGGAGUUAUGCAAUUGCAGCAAUAAGGACGGAUGGCCAGCUUCACAGGUUAAGCUCCGUACUGUAAUUUGCAUUCAGUUAUGUGCAGUAAUAAUGCCAUAUUUGUUAGUAGCCUGCUAGCUGUUUCCAGAUUUUUUAGUCAUGAUUGGCUUCUACACAAAAGGAGUUUGUCGAAAACAAGAGCAAUCCCAUUGUUGCUACACAGCCUGAAGAUUCUUUGCCUUUCUUUGAACUGUUUCAGGUUUUUUCUCUCAUAGUUAUAAUCAAAUAUUCAGAUAGAAUCAUAUGGGUGGUCGUGCCAUGUCCACAGGAGCGACUUACAUCAAGCAUUAGGCCUGGUUUUAAUCUUCUUGGUCACAUAUCAGAUGAGUAUAACAGUGUCCCAUCUUUUUGAUCAUGAGCUACCUUUCCCAGAACAGCCUGUCAUAUACUCAGAUUAGUAGCAGUGAAAUAAUGUAACGAAUAUCACGAGAGUGCUUGCAGUUUGUUAAUAUUCAAAUAAAAGGGAAAGCAACCUUUUCCCAGCUAACAGCAGGA